rnacentral:rRNA from 1 species
CCCUUAGAUGUUCUGGGCCGCACGCGCGCUACACUGAUGCAUUCAACGAGCCUAUCCUUGACCGACAGGUCCGGGUAAUCUUUGAAUCUGCAUCGUGACGGGGAUAGAUUAUUGCAAUUAUUAAUCUUCAACGAGGAAUGCCUAGUAGGCGCAAGUCAUCAGCUUGCGUCGAUUACGUCCCUGCCCUUUGUACACACCGCCCGUCGCACCUACCGAUUGAGUGUUCCGGUGAAGCCUCGGGAUUGUAGCUGUUUCCUUUAUUGGGUACAGCCGUGAGAACUUGUCUGAACCUUAACACUUAGAGGAAGGUGAAGUCGUAACA